rnacentral:RNase_P_RNA from 2 species
GGGAUAAGUGAGUAGCUCUCCUAGAGCUAUUUUAGGGGAGAGGAAAGUCCAUGCUUGCAUAGACUGAGAUGUCUAUAGUGUUUGUGUAAGUACAUAAAAAAUAAAACUUAACGGCUAGAGAAAUCUAGUUGAUGGCGGAAAAUAAUUCUAAGUAGCCUAAAGCUAUAUGAAUUAGUUUCUUUAAAGUGCCACAGAGACGAGCUUUACAGAAAUGUAAAAGUGUGAAACGCGGUAAACCCCUCAAGCAAGAAACCUAAAUAAUGGUAAGGGAAUUUAAGCUUAGGAAUUCAACUAAGCUUAGGAAUUUAGUUGAAAAACUAAAUUAGAUUAAUUACUCACAUUUUCUCGAAAAAUACAGAACAUGGCUUAUUAAU